CACGUAGUUAGCCGGGGCUUUUUCUUAUGGUACCGUCAUUAUCUUCCCAUAUAAAAGAACUUUACGACUCGAAAGCCUUCAUCGUUCACGCGGCGUCGCUGCAUCAGAGUUCCCUCCAUUGUGCAAUAUUCCCCACUGCUGCCUCCCGUAGGAGCUUGGACCGUCUCUCAGUUCCAAUGUGGCCGUUCACCCUCUCAGGCCGGCUACCCAUCGUCGCCUUGGUGGGCCGUUACCUCACCAACUAGCUAAUGGGAUGCGAGUCCAUCUUAGACCACCGGAGUUUUGAUCAUUAGUGCAUGUGCACCUAUGAUUUUAUUGGUAUUAAUCCCGGUUUCCCGAGGCUAUCCCAAUGUCUAAGGCAGGUUACUCACGUGUUACUCACCCGUCCGCCGCUAAUCCAUCUUAUCUUCACCCCGAAGGAUCUGUCAAGAUUCAUCGCUCGACUUGCAUGUGUUAAGCGCGCCGCCAGCGUUCGUCCUGAGCCAGGAUCAAACUCU
rnacentral:rRNA from 1 species